ensembl:lncRNA
UAAAGCCACGCCCCCUUCCGGUUGCUCGCCCUGGUUUGUUACCGGUGUGUAGAACGUUCGGCGUGUUGUCUUGAUUGGCGGUAGGUUGUGUUGCCCCUUUUGUCUGGUUUAUUCCAGCUAGCAGCCUGCCUGUUUGGUAAAAUGUUCACUGCAGUUGUAGGAAGCUACAGCGGCUGGAGCGGCUCCUGACGUGCUCUCCUUGUGUGUAUGUGUGUGUGUGCCACGCAGCUGCUCAGAGGUAUGCUCGUUUUUCUUGGUGUUUAACAUAAUGAACUGCUACAUGCUUCUAACACAGCCUUUCUGUUGUCACCACGCUGUUUAGUGGCAGCGCCAAGGACCCGCUGCUGUUUAGCCUUGCUGCUGCUGCUUUGCUUCACUUUGACCGUGUAUCUGUGACGGGCUAGCUAUACGGCUAACUGCAGCUAGCCUCCGCUACUUCUCUGCCUUAUCAGCCUCGUCUGCUUCCGCUCGGCGUCAGCCGGGUUAGACCAGGCAGCUUGGAAGUUGGGUUUCUUUUAGAAUUGAAUAUUUAUCUUAUUGUUUUUAACAUUCGUACUCUUUGUGCUUUUAUUUGUGUCCAGGUAGGGACACAGCUUUAUGGGUGGAUAUUAUUUGGGUUUAGUUUCUUUUUGUUUGGCCUUAUGGCCUAUAUUGGUUUGAUUAAUUAAGAUCAAUUUUCUAUUUAUUUGUUAUUUGGUUAGCUGUGUCUAAAGGAUUGGUUUAGUUUCUUUUUUUACUUUUGAACUUUAGUGUCUGUGAUUCUUGCUAUUUUUUUUGUAUUUUGUAUUCUGUGUUCAAAUGUUUCUUCAUUUUGCAUUCCCACUAAUCCCCCUUUUGUUUGGUUUCAGAGGCUGAGCAUCUGUGGUAGGGACGUGGUGUUGUCAGUGGUGGUAUCCUUCCCUGUGUGAUGUGUGAACCCUGGGUAUUUUUCGUUUCAUCCAUCACCUGUGUGUGUGAUUUUAUUCACCUGGUGACCUCUCCCUGUUCCUCCCCUCUGGUGACACAUCCUGCCACAUGGAUGGAUCUGCAGAGACUUUGAUUCAUCUGCCGUCUGGACAUGGAGUGAUGUGGGUCUCCUCUAAUCAGACAGUGGGAUGCUGCAAGUCACUAGACUGACCUCCUGUGCUUUGGAAGGGGAGGAGCUCACAGCGCCACCUGCUGCUCGUUGAGGACAAUGCACAAUGAGGGACGUCUGCAGAGACUGAGAAAGAGUCUCAUCACAUCCUGACAUGAGGAAAAAGACUUCAUUGAAGACUACAAUGAGAAAAACUAUCAGACAGCAGACGGCUGCAUUCAAGAGAGGAAGACCAUCAAACAUCCACAUCAGCUGAUGGAGGUCCAAGAGUCUCACCCAACAAACAACCUACAGAGUGAAGACCUCCAAUCUGAUUGGACGGCCUCCUAUUCAGCCACAUGUGUGAACAAAUGCCUCUAAGCUGAUUUGUUUUCUAAAAUAAAUCUAGUUUGAGUCCUAAUCUAUGCCUGUGUGUUUGCUUCUUGACACUGCUGUUAACAGUUUAGGCUGCUAGAUUGUUCCAGAUAAGACAAGUACAAGAUUCUUCAGAGCUGUUCUACCACGAGCCUGACAGGAAGAACUCCAACAGCUACUGAAUGUUCCUGUGGUUCCCUCAAGGCUACAGGAGGAGCCCUACGAGGACGAGCCGGUCCACCUGAUGGCGGCCAGUCGCUGCGGUUCAAAGCCAACACCGACUACGUGGACUUCUACUGGACCACACGGAGGCCUUCAAACCGGACCAACAAGUUCAGCGACUCCCCGACUCGUGGGUCUGAGGACGCCGCCGAGCCUCGGUCCAGCCGGCCUCCUGUCUGUGGGUGUUUGAGUGCUGAGAGGUUUGUGGAUGCAUGUGAACGUUCUGUGUUGAAACAGCAGCUUUGGACUCAGUAACGCCGGGAAAAACCAAGAGCUCCUUUAUUUGUGACUUCCACUAAAAAAACUGAUGAAAAUAAGUUUGCCAGGGUUCUGACUGAUAACAGAUUAUUAAAUAAUGAAAAUAACUGUUUAAAUAUUCCUUUAAACAAUCCUUAGGUCUACAUUUCCUUUACACUGACUUCUUGGUAAAUGUACAAGUAUUUUUGGUGGAAUGUACCAUUAAGCCUAAUGUUCAAGGGUUCUUCUGGGAACAUACCAUUAAACCAACCUUUUAGGUAAAUGUUCCAGGAUGUUGGGUAGAAUAUACCAUCAGAUCAACCUUUUAGAUGUACAUUGGAAGAUUUUAGAGUGGAAUAUUACUCCAAACUCCUUUACACCAAGAUUUUUUGGUCUACAUUGAAGGAUUUUAGGUGGAAUAUUCCUUUGAACGAACUUUUUAAGUUUAUGUUCCAAGAUGUUGGGUGGAAUAUACCAUCAGACCAACCUCCAAGGUCUACAGUAGUGAAUUUUAGGUGGAAUAUACCAUUAAACUCACCUUUUAGGUCUACAUUGGAGGAUUUUAGGUGGAAUUUUCUUCCAAACAUCUUUUAGUCUACAUUUAAGGAUGUUUAGGAUGGUAUAUUCUUCCAAACCAACUUCUCAGGUCUACAUUUCAGGUGGAAUAUUCCUCCAUACUAUCUUUUUUGGUCUACAUUGAAGGAUUUUUUCUAAACCACCCUUUGGGGUCUAUAUUUGAGGUUUUAGGUGGAAUAUUCCUUUAAACCAACCUAAAUUUCAUGUUUUGAUCAUUAUCAAGUGAGAAACCUCAGUCCAGACUCCUCAUAACGACGUUUGAGAUUUAUGCUGCUGUUAUUUGUUUAGUCCAGACUAAAUGACAGAAAUCCACAACUGUAAUUUUAUUUCAGGACUCGGUUAUUAAAUGUCAAAACAAUCUAUGUGACUCUAAAAACUCAACAGCUUUACAAACUCUAAGAUUAAACUCUCCACAAGGAUCUAAAAUAGGUUGGACUUCUACAUGAGAGCUUUAAUUAUUCUUCAUCUACUUCCUGAAAAGUUUGGUCAAUAAAAAAGACAAAAACUAAUAUUUUCAGCUGAACUAAAGACAGACUUUGUGAUUUUUCUGCUCACAUGUUGUGUUGUUGUAAACUUCCUCUUUCAAAUAAAUAGCCUCCUAACCCCCUGGAAACCAGCGUUUGUCCUGUUUUUGUGUUGCUCCUCGGCGACCCUAGA